AGCCGGCAGCCUGGGGGCCACUGUCCUCGCCCUCCACCGCACGUUCUGGAAAAAUGCUUUUUCUUCUGAACAAAACACACUUGAAGCCCGGGAAAAAAAGCACCUCCAGGAAACUUGGUGGAAUGACAGCAAAAAAUAAAGAAAUAAAUAAGGUCACCACCCUUACUGCUCUUGCUGAGAAUCCAGCGUGGGGCAGCUCUAUUUUUUUUCCUUGAAAAGUCAGCUUUUGGGUUUAUUUUUUUGUUGUUGUUUUUUGGGGGUUUUUUGUGCUUUUCUGUCUUGUUUUGUUUUUGCCGUACGUCUAGGUCUGGAAAAAAAACAACAAACGACUGUGGACUUCUGUAGCAACUGAACCAACAAAGCCCAUUUUGCCUAGAGAGGAGGCAUAUUUUGAUAAGCUUUCUGAAUCAUGCCAUCUCUGAGAUUUUUUUGACAUUAAAAAAAAAAAAAAAAAAAAAAAAAACAAGGCUACACGUUAUUCAGUAGCAUUUGUACAGAGAACAAUACCCGCUUUCAUUGUGAAUAGGACCUUCCCCGGUUCCCACCCGCCCCCAGCAGCGCGCACCACGCUGGGCCGCGGCAGGUGCAGGUUUGGCUCCUCCGUCCUGCUCGUCUGUUCCGGCGUCGAGGACCGGCCGAGGCGGAGCGGAGCCCGAGCGCCCCGGGGCACGGACGCGGACAGACGGGCGGACAGACGGGCGGCUGACCGCGCCGCCCACCGGUGAGGCCGGCAGGCCACCUGGUAUUGCCUGGCAAACAGGACGACCAGAACAGGCAGAGGUAUCCAGAGCAAGAGAGACAUGGCCCAGCAGGAGGCUACAGAGGGACGCACAAGGACUGGCAAUGUGUCCGUCCGGCACAGCACCCUGGAGGUCCCCCUUGCAGCACUGCCCACAUGGCUGUGGUCCCCAUCACCUACAGAGCUGCUGCAAGAAGAAACCAAGCCUUAUCCAUGUUGUCUCUCCAGAGCCAUGAAUACAUCUCUGUACAUGGAGUACCUCAAAGUCUACUGGCUUGAAUGCAAACAGUAGCAUUGAAGCUGUGCCUUAAGGAACCGGUAGAACUUCUGAGAACAAACAAGGAAGAAAAGGACCAGAAACAAGAAGAGUUGAGAGCAAACACAGUCCAUUUUGCUGAUACAUGGGUCCUUGGAAGGAAAGGGACAUUUCAGAUUCAUUGUGAUCCUAUUACAGCCUUAGAGACUUAGCCUACAAUCAGUAGGAAAUAGCUGUGACUCACUGUUAAAACUAUGCAAGGACUUGAAAAAAAUUAAGGGCCGCUUGGGUGGUUCAGUUGGUUAAGUGUCUGCCUUCAGCUCAGGUCAUGUGCCUGGAGUCCUGCGAUCAAGUCCUAAUCAGGCUCCCCGGUCAGCUGGGAGCAUGCUUCUCCCUCUCCCUCUGCCAUCCCUGCCCCACUGUGUUCUCUGGCUCUCUCUAUCUCUCUG
rnacentral:lncRNA from 1 species